UUAAAUGGAAGGAUUUCAGCAAUAGUCAGUAGAUGGCACUAGGGUACUACAUAAAUUACCAUUGAGCUAGUCGCUUUUUUCUGCGGUUUCCCUAUUUGAAGAGGAUGGAAGUAGCUGAUUCCUUUCUAAUUAUUAUUUGAAGGUGCAGUCUGGAAUCCAUUGUUGAGGGAAUAGACCCUGAUUAAAGAAAACGGGGAGAAUAUUUUCAUGUUUAGCAAAGGCAUAAUGUGCUCUGCGCUGUACAAAACAAAUAUAAAGAUUGUCCCUCCUUCUAAGAGAGUACAAACUACAGCCCUGCUCCAAAGCCCGUUGAAAUCCAUGGGAGUCUUUUCAUUGAUGUCUGUGGACAUAGGAUUGGGCCCCAACUGAAGACAGGAUAAAAUGGCAAACCCAGGAAAGAACAAAAGCUUUGAGGCAUUUUCUGUUGUUUGCUUGUUUGUUUUGUUUCUUCGAAAUGCCCACUGGAUCAAAAAGAAAUGCAACACAAGAUGUGUUAGAGUCAGUAUCUAUCUUGACCUGGAGUCAGAAAGGAUAGUUGAGACUGCUGGACAAGAAUCUUAAUGUAGCUGAUCCUCAGUUUAUACUGCAAAAAGAGGAACCCACAAGCUCUCAGACCAAAAGAGAAGGGAUAAAUAAAAUUGUCACAUAACCCCAAGAUGUCUUCUUGCCCUGAGUGUUGCUUUAAUGGCUUAUUUGCAACAUUUUGAACUUUUCCUCCUUUGAUAUCCCUUCCAUACCAUGGAGAAAUAGAGAUCUGGUUGAAAUGGAACAUCCCACAAGAGGGUUUUAACAGCUAAUAUCUUACCUCUUUACCUU